rnacentral:misc_RNA from 1 species
UGAUCCAUAUAAAACUUUAUUGUCCACAUCGCCUUUAUUUAAGCCCGUCUCGACCCAAUAUACGUCGAUCAAUACAAUAAAUUUAAAAAAUUUACACUUUACCAAAAUUCAUAAUUGAGUGCAUGCAUGCAUGCAUACAACUUGCAAGAGUGUAAGGCUACAUUACAUCGAUCAUUACAAUACAACAAUAACUACUAUAGAAAUCGACCAUAUAAAUCUUCAAUGUUGAUAUCGCUCCAUUUAAGCCCAUCUCAGUCCAAUAUCCAUAAAUCAAUAUAAUACAACAAUAACAACUACUAUCAAUCCCAAGCAAAUCAGAAUCGACCAUAGAUUGUUGUUUAAACCCAUCUCAGACCAAUAUCCAUCGAUAGAUACGAUGAGUAAAAAAAUUACCCCUUUCUAGGAAUGAUUUGGACUAAGAUUGUUAUAUAAUACCAGAAACUCUGAGAGAAGAUAGCACAACAAAUAUAAGCCAUAACAACAUGAAGAAUAUGCAAGUUACCCAUGCCCAAACUCUUGGCCCGCCAAGCUCAGCACCGAUAGUGAGUCGUCUAAACACCAAAACACCGAUGCAGGCUACAGAAGUAGAGAAGAAAACAAGCAGAGAGAAACUUAGUCCUUCUGCAUUUUCUAUUCGCAAUGGCUCGUUGUAUGCAAUGUAGUUGUACAAUGUAUCGAUUAGCCAUGGUACGCCAAUGCCUAUAUAGAUGUUCACCGAAUUGCUGCAGGUAAUGUUAGCAAUGGCAGAGUCAGCUGUAAGUUGUCGUUCUGCAGCAAUUUUGCUGGCCACGAGAUCAGGCCAUGAGGUUCCACUUGCCAAAGCUGUGAAUGCAAUGACGUAAGGAUUUAUUCCUGUAACACAGCUUAUCAAAUCUGUGAUUUUUGUCACUACAUAAGCAAUUCCACUGAUGAAUAUCAAAGAACAUAUGAAAGCAAUCCACCCAUGGGCAAUCUGAUACGGUGGCACAAACGCAAAAAGAAGCUUCCACGGUAGAAGAAGCAACUGCCAGAAAAUUCUUGCUACACGUAGGUAUGUAUUAUUCAAUUUUCUGGAUUCUGUACUCUCCAACAUGAGAGCAUCCACAAAUUGAUGCUUCCAAAUUGAGAGGAUAUCAGAUUCUUCAGGAAUGAUAUAGCAAUUAUUCGGCGUGGACGAUUCAGUGACAUCUUCUCCUGCUAAGUUUUGAUAAAAGUGACCUGUCCCCUCUCCUGAAUGAAUGGAGAAUAUAUCAACAAUUCCGGUAUUUUCUUCUUCACCAACUUGAGAUACUUCCGAGUGUGGCUCAUGAACCUUGUCAAGAGGCCUGUAUUUAACAACCUCAGCAGGCACCCACUCCUCUGGCCUCUCAGCUCUUUCUAAAGGAAGGGACAAAUAGGGCCAACGUUUGUCCUGUGCAUAGGCAUGUAUCAGCAAUAGCCCAAAUUGCAACACUGUUAAGAUAGACUCCCACAAAGUUACAACAUUUGGAGUCCACACCUCUAAAAUUAUAUACAGCCAGAUGUAGGCCCAAAAGGACCAAAAGAGCUCAACAAGCCAGACUCCAAUAUCUGAUAUCUUCUUCAAUUCUCCAGCUUUAGGAACCACCACGCAAACAGCAUGUAUUGGAAAUAGAUCGAAAGCAGCAGAUCCAACGAGUGUUCCCGGACCUAAACCUCCAGCAUAUAAUUUUCCAAUAUUUCGUAUUGCAUCAAUUGUAGCUAGCGAGAUCUGUGGAAAACUAGUCCCAAAUGCCAGUAGAGUGAUGUCUGCAAUUGUGUAAUUCCACACCUUUUCAUUUUUGACAGCUUUUGUGUUUGUGAGAGGAUCUAUCGUCUCUACAGUCCGACUAUGCUUGACAACACUCUCCAUGGACCGGAAAAACCGAGCAGUUAUAGCUGACAAUCCAAUAAAGCAAUAGGCAAGACCCAAAAAAUACAAGAAAGUUCGAAAGCCUCCACCAAGAGCAGUUUCUAGAUGGAAAAGUAAAUAAGCAUCACAUUUUUCAUGUCUAAGGAUAUUUGAAUGUCCAUUGGUGCUGUGAGUGGUAUAGUUUCCAAGCGAGGUCAUCUUGAUAAAUAUUUUUCUCUUCGCAGUUCAAGCCCCAGAAAGAUUAUUCUUUCGGACGGAUGCGGACAAUAUAGGCAUAUACAACUAUCAAUAUCCAUUUUGCUCCAUAUUGUACCGUUUAGUGAUUGAAAAAAAAGGGGAUAAAAAUGGGGUCUUGAACUGAUUUGUG